rnacentral:misc_RNA from 1 species
GAAAUGCGAUAAGUAAUGUGAAUUGCAGAAUUCAGUGAAUCAUCGAAUCUUUGAACGCACAUUGCGCUCGCCAGUAUUCUGGCGAGCAUGCCUGUUCGAGCGUCAUUUCAACCAUCAAGCUCUGCUUGCGUUGGGGAUCCGCAGCUGCCCGCGGUCCCUCAAAAACAGUGGCGGGCUCGCUAGUCACACCGAGCGUAGUAACUCUACAUCGCUAUGGUCGUGCGGCGGGUUCUUGCCGUAAAACCCCCAAUUUCUAAGGUUGACCUCGGAUCAGGUAGGAAUACCCGCUGAACUUAAGC